UACAGAGGGGGCAAGCGUUGUUCGGAAUUACUGGGCGUAAAGGGCUCGUAGGCGGCCAACUAAGUCAUACGUGAAAUCCCUCGGCUUAACCGGGGAACUGCGUCUGAUACUGGAUGGCUUGAGUUCGGGAGAGGGAUGCGGAAUUCCAGGUGUAGCGGUGAAAUGCGUAGAUAUCUGGAGGAACACCGGUGGCGAAGGCGGCGUUCUGGACUGCAACUGACACUGAGGAACGAAAGCCAGGGGAGCAAACGGG
rnacentral:rRNA from 1 species